AGGCCAUUUCCAAGUGGGCUUGUGGAGCUGUGAAACAAGGACCUCUUAACACUAUGACCAGAGAUUGAAGUUCUCUUGAGGAUGCCACAGUCACUUAAUAGAGCUAUGUGCUCCUAAAAAGAUGUAGCC
ensembl:snoRNA